rnacentral:rRNA from 1 species
CCUACGGGAGGCAGCAGUGGGGGAUAUUGGACAAUGGGGGGGAACCCUGAUCCAGCGACGCCGCGUGAGUGAAGAAGUAUUUCGGUAUGUAAAGCUCUGUCAGCAGGGAAGAAAGCAAUGACGGUACCUGACCAAGAAGCCACGGCUAACUACGUGCCAGCAGCCGCGGGAAUACGUAGGGGGCAAGCGUUAUCCGGAAUUACUGGGUGUAAAGGGAGCGUAGACGGCUGUGCAAGUCGGGAGUGAAAGGCGGUGGCGCAACCCCCGGACUGCUCUGGAAUCUGUAUGGCUGGAGUGCAGGAGAGGUGAGCGGAAUUCCUAGUGUAGCGGUGAAAUGCGUAGAUAUUAGGAGGAACGCCAGUUGCGAAGGCGGCUUACUGGACUGUAACUGACGUUGAGGCUCGAAAGCGUGGGGAGCAAACAGGAUUAGAUACCCGUGUAGUC